UCAACAUGUCUGGACGCGGGAAAGGCGGCAAGGGCCUGGGCAAGGGCGGCGCCAAGCGCCACCGCAAGGUGCUCCGCGACAACAUCCAGGGCAUCACCAAGCCCGCCAUCCGCCGCCUGGCCCGGCGCGGCGGCGUCAAGCGCAUCUCGGGGCUCAUCUACGAGGAGACCCGCGGGGUGCUCAAGGUCUUCCUGGAGAACGUCAUCCGCGACGCCGUCACCUACACCGAGCACGCCAAGCGCAAGACCGUCACGGCCAUGGACGUGGUCUACGCGCUCAAGCGCCAGGGCCGCACCCUCUACGGCUUCGGCGGCUAAGUUAUCCGCUCCCCCCUUCUCGAAAUCAACAAAAGGCCCUUUUCAGGGCCGCCCACAUGUAUCUGUUAAAGAGCUAGUAACUGCUUUGUUCUUAAGGACUUUAGCUGUUUGUUCUUUCAACGGCCCCACCGCCGCAACCUUACAGGAUUCUAUUGACGUGUUAGUAAUUGCAGAAUUAAAAUCUCUCAAAUUCUGGUCGGUAUUCAGGUAAUGUUCCUGGACCAUUUCGGUAUUUCGGUUUCCGUAGGCGUGAGAAGCGGGCUCCUUGCAUUGCUCGGCUGGGAAUUGACCCUCAGCCUCUGGGUGAAGCUCUUCCCGUCUGGAGCUGUUGUAGCGCGCACGUUAAUCUGUCUUAAUUGUGUUCCCGGGGUUAAGAUGGCGCAGUCGGCGGGAACAAAGGCUCCCCACCCCCCACCCCCCCAUCCCGCCCGGCAGCGGCGUGCAGGGGAGUCUAGAACAAAGGCUCGGUCGCCGAGCGCACGUUCCCUACUGCAGGUGUGCGCCCCGGCGCAGAUCUGAUACUUCAGACUGUACAGAAAUCGAAAAAGUGAGGCAUGUAUAUUGGUGAUAGUGUUCCCUAACACUUGGUGGCACAUGAUAGCUUACAUAAAGGACCAUGGGCUGGCAUUCAGGAUAACUCCCUCCAUUUUGUUAGGUAAACAACAGAAAAGGCCGAUUUCCCCCAUACCGACACACUUGGCUAAAAGUUUCUGAUUGCACCUCUUGACCCAGUUGAAGUGCAGUGCAAGAAAGGUUCACAGACAUUGGCAUUUGUACAAGAGAUAAAUGCAUGUAAUUAAUGAGACAAUAAGAUUUUUG